CAUUACCGAGUUUACAACUGCCCAAACCCAAUGUGAACGUUACCAAACUGUUGCCUCGGCGGGGUCACGCCCCGGGUGCGUAAAAGCCCCGGAACCAGGCGCCCGCCGGAGGAACCAACCAAACUCUUUCUGUAGUCCCCUCGCGGACGUAUUUCUUACAGCUCUGAGCAAAAAUUCAAAAUGAAUCAAAACUUUCAACAACGGAUCUCUUGGUUCUGGCAUCGAUGAAGAACGCAGCGAAAUGCGAUAAGUAAUGUGAAUUGCAGAAUUCAGUGAAUCAUCGAAUCUUUGAACGCACAUUGCGCCCGCCAGUAUUCUGGCGGGCAUGCCUGUCCGAGCGUCAUUUCAACCCUCGAACCCCUCCGGGGGAUCGGCGUUGGGGAUCGGGACCCCUCACCGGGUGCCGGCCCUGAAAUACAGUGGCGGUCUCGCCGCAGCCUCUCCUGCGCAGUAGUUUGCACAACUCGCACCGGGAGCGCGGCGCGUCCACGUCCGUAAAACACCCAACUUCUGAAAUGUUGACCUCGGAUCAGGUAGGAAUACCCGCUGAACUUAAGCAUAUCAAUAAGCGAA
rnacentral:rRNA from 1 species